AACCGCUGUGCCACCCAGGGAUCCCCCUGAAUAUCUUUUCAUAUCAUUUAUUGGCCAUUUGGACUUUCCCUUUUGUGCCUAUUGGGUAGAGCUAUUGGGUUGCCUAUCUCUUUCAUAUUAAUUUUGAGGAAUUCCUUGAUGUAACUAAUCACUACAUAAUGUUGCAAAUAUUUUCUCCCAAGUGGGGCUCAUCUUUUCACUCACUAUUUGGUCUCCUGAUGAUCAGAAGAAUUUAAUUUUAAUGUAAGCUCUUUUUCUUUUUUUUUGUAUUCCUCAGUCUUUAUCUCUCUAUCUAUGGUUCAUAUUCAGAAGCUCUGAGAGAUGAUCUAAAUUAGUUGACCAAGUACAAUAUAGCACAAUGUGACUGGAUGAUACCCUAAUGCAAAACCAUUUCCUAGGUUCUAGACAUCCUAUAUAUGUGUCUGUGUUAGGAUCAGUGCCAAUCUCUAAGGUAGGAGAGUACCAUUUAAAACAAUAAAUGGGAGGCACCUGGCUGGGUCUGUUGGAAGAACAUGCAACUCUUGACCUCGGGGUUGUGAGUUCCAGCCCCACGAUGGGUGCUGAGGUUACUUAAACUUAAAAAAAAAUACAAUAAAUGAUGGGGGCAGGUGGAAAUUAGACAAAGAAUAAGAUAUUUAAGUCAAAAAAUACUACUUACUGACAAUAAAGUUCUUAAUAAUCCAUACCCAGAGAUGAAGAAAAUAAAAAAAAAAAAAAGAAAAAAGCCUUUUAAGCACAUAAAAUUUGGGAAGGUCUUUGUCAAAGGGAACUGGGGGGGAGGGGAUUGGUGGCUUACAAAGUUUGCUUCUUGUCUUGAGAAUUCUGCUUUGAAAUGGAACCAAAAACCUGAAGUUGACCUUAUAAAAUUUCAUUCUAACAGACACUGAAUUAAACAAAUUUUCUUGUUCCCCCAAAUAAGAGCUUUUCGGUCUUUAGUCUUUCAGUCACCUGAUAAAACUCAAUUGGAGUGAAGAGAUCCAGUCUAUUUCAGUUAUUUUACAGACAAAGCAAUUAGUCUAGAGAGACAGAGUGACUUGCCCCAGGUCACAGAACUAAUUCAU
rnacentral:lncRNA from 12 species